rnacentral:rRNA from 1 species
GCGUGGAGGAAGAAGUUUUUCGGAACGUAAACUCCUGUCCUGAGGGACGAAGCCAGUGACGGUACCUCGGGAGGAAGCCCCGGCUAACUCCGUGCCAGCAGCCGCGGUAAUACGGGGGGGGCAAGCGUUGUUCGGAAUUACUGGGCGUAAAGGGCGCGUAGGCGGCAUGGGAAGUCAUGGGUGAAAGCCCCGGGCUCAACUCGGGAAUGGCCUGUGAAACCACUGUGCUGGAGUGCUGGAGAGGGAAGCGGAAUUCCCAGUGUAGCGGUGAAAUGCGU